CACCAAAAAUGCAACAGGAGCGUAAUAUGUAGGAAAUUGUCCACGCAACCUGAUCCUAAAAUCAAGAUGACGUCAUAUGCUUCAGUGGGACUCAGCAGCAUCAGCGUCUCCCUUGAAGAUGGCAGAGUGAUGGAUCACCGAAAUGUGGAGUUAUGUUGCUUUUAGGAUCCUGCAGCAAACCCAAGACAGGACUACCAAGAAUCAGUUAAGUUACAGAGUGACGUUUGAUUGCAUUUUUGGAAAUUAUCUCAUUCUGGGAACACAAUGGAUGCCAAUAAAACGAUUUUCACAUGCACCCAACCAAGAAGUUUUAAUUGUGACAUG